UGUUAGUUUGCGGGACAACACCUUGUAUGAUACGUGGUUCACGAGAAAUCGAGGAAACCUUGCUGAAACACCUGGGAGUGAAGCGCAAUGAAGUGACCAAGGAUGGCUUAUUCUCUGUUGGAGAAAUGGAGUGCAUGGGAUGCUGUGUAAAUGCUCCAAUGAUCACUGUGGCUGAUUACACCAAGGGUUCAGAAGGAUAUACAUACAACUAUUAUGAAGAUGUUACUCCCAAACGAGUGAUUGAGAUUGUUGAAAUGCUGAAGAAUGGAGAAGCCCCACCUGUUGGCACACAAAACCCAAACCGGAUAAAGGGGGGACCGGCUGGUGGGAACACCACUCUGCUCGGGGAGCCGAAGCCUCCCCCAUGCAGGGAUCUUGAUGCCUGCUAAUGCUUUUGCGAGCCGAGUGUCUAAUAAUGAGACGUUGAAUUGGCCUCCUCAAUCUGCAUGGUCUUGUGGCCUCUUUACCAGCCAGACUGCUAGAUUUCAGGAUUUAAUCUAUGAAUUCUCUCAUGUUUCAUUUGUGAUUCUUCAAAAGUAAUCAGAGAAUACCCUUCUAAAUUGAAAUCUGGGGUUUCUGUUGUGGUUUCUCUAAGUUUAUGAGAAGAACCGGCAAAAUAUGUUUUCUGUUGGAGUUUCG
rnacentral:misc_RNA from 1 species